AUUGAACGCUGGCGGCAGGCUUAACACAUGCAAGUCGAGCGAGCGGCGGACGGGUGAGUAAUGUCUGGGAAACUGCCUGAUGGAGGGGGAUCACUACUGGAAACGGUAGCUAAUACCGCAUAACAUCAGAUGUGCCCAGAUGGGAUUAGCUAGGAGGUGGGGUAAUGGCUCAUCUAGGCGAAGAUCCCUAGCUGGUCUGAGAGGAUGACCAGCCACACUGGAACUGAGACACGGUCCAGACUCCUACGGGAGGCAGCAGUGGGGAAUAUUGCACAAUGGGCGCAAGCCUGAUGCAGCCAUCCCGCUUGUGUGAAGAAGGCCUUCGGUUUGUAAAGCACGUUCAGCGAGGAGGCGGUACUCGCAGAAGAAGCACCGGCUAACUCCGUGCCAGCCGCCGCGGUAAUAC
rnacentral:rRNA from 1 species